CUGAUAACCCAGGAAACUGAAGUCCUUUAUUCAUUCACAGAGCAGGUACAACAGUGGUGCAAGCUUCCCCACACUGUCCCUUCUGAAAUAUGACUCUAUUUUGACCACCUCUAGGAAUGAGAGAGUAGCUCAGUUUCCAUAACCCAUUCAAAUACUUGGCUUCU
rnacentral:sRNA from 1 species